GACGAACGCUGGCGGCGUGCUUAACACAUGCAAGUCGAACGGAAAGGCCCUGCUUUUGUGGGGUGCUCGAGUGGCGAACGGGUGAGUAACACGUGAGUAACCUGCCCUUGACUUUGGGAUAACUUCAGGAAACUGGGGCUAAUACCGGAUAGGAGCUCCUGCUGCAUGGUGGGGGUUGGAAAGUUUCGGCGGUUUGGGAUGGACUCGCGGCUUAUCAGCUUGUUGGUGGGGUAGUGGCUUACCAAGGCUUUGACGGGUAGCCGGCCUGAGAGGGUUGCCGGCGACCUUGGGACUGAGAUACGGCCCAGACUCCUACGGGAGGCAGCAGGGGGGAAUCUUGCGGAAUGGGCCGAAGCCUGAUGCAGCAACGCUGGGUGCGGGAUGACGGCCUUCGGGGUGUAAACCGCUUUCGCAUGUGACGAAGCGUGAGUGACGGUAAUGGGUAAAGAAGCACCGGCUAACUACGUG
rnacentral:rRNA from 1 species